GGGUAGGUGGCCGAGUGGCUAAAGGCGGCAGACUGUAAAUCUGUUCUCAUACGAGUACGAUGGUUCGAAUCCAUCCCUGCCCACCA
rnacentral:tRNA from 3 species